rnacentral:rRNA from 1 species
UGGGGAAUAUUGGAUAAUGGGGGCAACCCUGAUCCAGCAAUGCCGCGUGUGUGAAGAAGGUCUUCGGAUUGUAAAGCACUUUCGACGGGGACGAUGAUGACGGUACCCGUAGAAGAAGCCCCGGCUAACUUCGUGCCAGCAGCCGCGGUAAUACGAAGGGGGCUAGCGUUGCUCGGAAUGACUGGGCGUAAAGGGCGUGUAGGCGGUUUACACAGUCAGAUGUGAAAUCCCCGGGCUUAACCUGGGAGCUGCAUUUGAUACGUGUAGACUAGAGUGUGAGAGAGGGUUGUGGAAUUCCCAGUGUAGAGGUGAAACUCGUAGAUAUUGGGAAGAACACCGGUGGCGAAGGCGGCAACCUGGCUCAUGACUGACGCUGAGGCGCGAAAGCGUGGGGAGCAAACAGGAUUAGAUACCCUGGUAGUCCACGCUGUAAACGAUGUGUGCUAGAUGUUGGGUAACUUUGUUAUUCAGUGUCGCAGUUAACGCGUUAAAGCACACCGCCUGGGGAGUACGGCCGCAAGGU